ACAACAACCCCGGGUAUGAAAUGUAAAACUGCUAAGUCAGCAAUGAACAAGAUUGAACAGACAGUGGACAAACGAAGAUGGGACAUUGGAUACACCUAGAUGGACAGUAGACAAACUUGAAUGCACAGUUGACAGUAUUGGUCUCAUGGAGGAAAAACUAGAUGGACUCAACUCAACAACUCUGGAUGGAAAGUGGAAAACCAAGAAAAUUCAUACCUUGACCAACCAGUCAGUAACGAACAAGCUUGGAAACACAGUGGACAAACCAGGAUGGGACAUUGGAUACACCUAGAUGGACAGUGGACAAACAUGAAUGUACAGUGGGCUUUAUUGGACAUAUGGUGAAAAACUGGAUGGGCAUGAGUGGACAACUCUGGGUGGACAGUGGAAACCAAAAACAUUCAGACCGUGACCAACCAGGUAAAUACGCUGUCUUGUAACCAUCUUGAAUCAUGUAUACUAAAGAUAUCCAUGGUGGAGUGUCGAUUGAUACCCUUAAAUGACAUCUUGAUCUGUACUCAACUGAGGUCCUGAUCCAUACUUGGUCGACACUCAUUUGACACUUGAUCAACAGUUGGUCAAUAGUCGACCGAAGUGUUGAUGGAGUGUCGAUUGGGUAUCGAUUGAGUGUUGAUUGAGGUUAUCGAUUAACACUCGACUUGGAUGCCUUUAGUACACAUGAUCCACCAUCUUUGCUAGAUAUUCUUGCUAAAAUUUCAGGCAAAGCAAUCUGAACCUGAGGGAAUCUCCUCAUAGAUCUCAUUGCUUUCGAACACAGUAGUAUAGGGGGGAUUAACCAAAUACCAU